rnacentral:misc_RNA from 1 species
AAGUCGUAACAAGGUUUUCGUAGGUGAACCUGCGUAAGGAUCAUUAACGAGCAAGCCAAAUACUUGGCUGAGCUGUUUAAGCAAUGUUCAGGUCCUUGGGACCAAUUACUUGGCUCAGGGCGGCUUUACUUAAUUAAAGUGACAACGGCAACUAGCUUGGCUAGAGUCAGCUGCAGUGAGUUGGCUUGCAGCAGCUGCGCUGUUAGGGUUCCAGUGUUUAAAUGGCUGGGUGCCCAAUCCUGGCUUUCUGCUAGGGCUGCGUCUUAUCUGGGAAUGCAGCGGGCCGAAAGGUUUGCGUUC